GCCCGCCUAGCUCAAUCGGAUAGAGCGUCAGACUCUUACUUGUCGGUUCUGACUAUAGGUGUGCAAUCUGAAGGCUGCGAGUUCGACCCUCGCGGUGGGCU
rfam:Daedalea quercina L-15889 unplaced genomic scaffold DAEQTscaffold_135, whole genome shotgun sequence.